rnacentral:rRNA from 1 species
AGGUAGCAUAAUCACUUGUUUCUUAAAUAGAGACUAGUAUCAACGGCAUCACGAAGACUAUACUGUCUCCCCCCUAAAAUCAAUGAAACUGAUCUCCUCGUGAAGAAGCGAGGAUAUACAUAUAAGACGAGAAGACCCCAUGGAGCUUUAAACGAACUUCAAUUGUUCCUAUCCAUAACAUACAAAUUGAACACCCCCUGAUAGUUAGUUUUAGGUUGGGGUGACCGCGGAGUAAAACAAAACCUCCACAAUGAAUGUAGUAAAAUUCUUAUAAAAGAACCACAAUUCUAAUAAUCAAAAAUUUGACAUAAAUUGACCCAAACACUUGAUCAAUGAACCAAGUUACCCUGGGGAUAACAGCGCAAUCCAUUUUAAGAGCCCAUAUCGACAAAUGGGUUUACGACCUCGAUGUUG